GGGGGCAACCCUGGCGGCGAGCGGCGAACGGGUGAGUAAUACAUCGGAACGUACCCAGGAGUGGGGGAUAACACAUCGAAAGAUGUGCUAAUACCGCAUACGCCCUGAGGGGGAAAGCGGGGGACCGCAAGGCCUCGCGCUGUUGGAGCGGCCGAUGUCGGAUUAGCUAGUUGGUGGGGUAAGGGCCUACCAAGGCGACGAUCCGUAGCUGGUCUGAGAGGAUGAUCAGCCACACUGGGACUGAGACACGGCCCAGACUCCUACGGGAGGCAGCAGUGGGGAAUUUUGGACAAUGGGGGCAACCCUGGUCCAGCCAUUCCGCGUGAGUGAAGAAGGCCUUCGGGUUGUAAAGCUCUUUCGGCAGGAACGAAACGGCGGGCUCUAACAUAGCCUGUCAAUGACGGUACCUGAAGAAGAAGCACCGGCUAACUACGUGCCAGCAGCCGCGGUAAUACGUAGGGUGCGAGCGUUAAUCGGAAUUACUGGGCGUAAAGCGUGCGCAGGCGGUUUUGUAAGACAGCUGUGAAAUCCCCGGGCUUAACCUGGGAACCGCGGUUGUGACUGCAAGACUAGAGUGCGGCAGAGGGGGGUGGAAUUCCACGUGUAGCAGUGAAAUGCGUAGAGAUGUGGAGGAACACCGAUGGCGAAGGCAGCCCCCUGGGUUGACACUGACGCUCAUGCACGAAAGCGUGGGUAGCAAACAGGAUUAGAUACCCUGGUAGUCCACGCCCUAAACGAUGCCAACUAGGUGUUGGGGAAGGAGACUUCCUUAGUACCGUAGCUAACGCGUGAAGUUGGCCGCCUGGGGAGUACGGUCGCAAGAUUAAAACUCAAAGGAAUUGACGGGGACCCGCACAAGCGGUGGAUGAAUGUGGAUUAAUUCGAUGC
rnacentral:rRNA from 1 species